AGCGAACGCUGGCGGCAGGCCUAACACAUGCAAGUCGAACGAAGUCUUCGGACUUAGUGGCGGACGGGUGAGUAACACGUGGGAACGUACCUUUUGAUUCGGAACAACUCAGGGAAACUUGAGCUAAUACCGAAUGUGCCCUUCGGGGGAAAGAUUUAUCGCCAUUAGAGCGGCCCGCGUUAGAUUAGGUAGUUGGUGGG
rnacentral:rRNA from 1 species